UACAGAGGUGGCAAGCGUUGUUCGGAAUUACUGGGCGUAAAGGGCGCGUAGGCGGCCUUCUAAGUCAGACGUGAAAUCCCCCGGCUUAACCUGGGAACUGCGUCUGAUACUGGAUGGCUUGGAUUUGGGAGAGGGAUGCGGAAUUCCAGGUGUAGCGGUGAAAUGCGUAGAUAUCUGGAGGAACACCGGUGGCGAAGGCGGCAUCCUGGACCAACAUUGACGCUGAGGAGCGAAAGCUAGGGGAGCAAACGGG
rnacentral:rRNA from 1 species